rnacentral:rRNA from 1 species
UGCAAGUCGAACGGAGUGCUCAUGACGGAGUUUUCGGACAACGGAUUGGGUUACUUAGUGGCGGACGGGUGAGUAACGCGUGAGGAACCUGCCUCGGAGUGGGGAAUAACAUACCGAAAGGUGUGCUAAUACCGCAUAAUGCAGUUGGGUCGCAUGACUCUGACUACCAAAGAUUUAUCGCUCUGAGAUGGCCUCGCGUCUGAUUAGCUAGUUGGCGGGGUAACGGCCCACCAAGGCGACGAUCAGUAGCCGGACUGAGAGGUUGACCGGCCACAUUGGGACUGAGACACGGCCCAGACUCCUACGGGAGGCAGCAGUGGGGAAUAUUGGGCAAUGGGCGCAAGCCUGACCCAGCAACGCCGCGUGAAGGAAGAAGGCUUUCGGGUUGUAAACUUCUUUUGUCAGGGACGAAACAAAUGACGGUACCUGACGAAUAAGCCACGGCUAACUACGUGCCAGCAGCCGCGGUAAUACGUAGGUGGCAAGCGUUAUCCGGAUUU